rnacentral:rRNA from 1 species
CCCCUAGAUGUUCUGGGCCGCACGCGCGCUACACUGAACAGUUCAACAAGUCUUAACCUUGGCCGAUAGGUCUGGGUAAUCUUUGAACGCUGUUCGUGAUUGGGAUAGACCUUUGCAAUUAUGGGUCUUCAACGAGGAAUUCCUAGUAAACGCAAGUCAUCAGCUUGCAUUGAUUACGUCCCUGCCCUUUGUACACACCGCCCGUCGCACCUACCGAUUGAAUGGUCCGGUGAAAUCUCGGGACGGCGGCUCGGUCGCUUGCGUCCGACUGCUGAAACUUGAUUAAACCAUAUCAUUCAGAGGAAGGUGAANUCGUANCA